rnacentral:rRNA from 1 species
GUGGGGAAUCUUAGACAAUGGGGGAAACCCUGAUCUAGCCAUGCCGCGUGAUCGAUGAAGGCCUUAGGGUUGUAAAGAUCUUUCAGUGGGGAAGAUAAUGACGGUACCCACAGAAGAAGCCCCGGCUAACUCCGUGCCAGCAGCCGCGGUAAUACGGAGGGGGCUAGCGUUAUUCGGAAUUACUGGGCGUAAAGCGCACGUAGGCGGAGCGGAAAGUUGGGGGUGAAAGCCCAGGGCUCAACCCUGGAACUGCCUUCAAAACUCCCGCUCUUGAGGUCGUGAGAGGUGAGUGGAAUUCCGAGUGUAGAGGUGAAAUUCGUAGAUAUUCGGAGGAACACCAGUGGCGAAGGCGGCUCACUGGCACGAUACUGACGCUGAGGUGCGAAAGCGUGGGGAGCAAACAGGAUUAGAUACCCGAGUAGUCC